CCCUUAGAUGUUCUGGGCCGCACGCGCGCUACACUGACGAAGUCAGCGAGCAUGUCCUACGCCGACAGGUGCGGGGAAUCUUGUCAAACUUCAUCGUGAUGGGGAUUGAUUAUUGAAAUUCUUGAUCAUCAACGAGGAAUUCCUAGUAAGCGCAAGUCAGCAGCUUGCGUUGAUUACGUCCCUGCCCUUUGUACACACCGCCCGUCGCUACUACCGAUUGAAUGGUUUAGUGAGAUCUUCGGAUUGGCGCCACUGCGGCUCAGCAAUGGGCUCGGUGGAUGCCGAAAAGUUGAUCAAACUUGAUCGUUUAGAGGAAGUAAAAGUCGUAACA
rnacentral:rRNA from 1 species